GAAUGUUUCCAUGUUUCCACCUCUGAAAUACUCUGUGCAUGGAGGUUCAGCCCAGUGCCCAACGUCAUGAAGAACUCAACUGCAGGUCUCACAGAGAGUUUGAUUUACCCAACCUUCUCACAACUAAAGACGACACAGAAAACAACUGGAGAAAGUGCCUCAGCCACAGCAGUUUGCAAUCCCUUCCUUCUCCACUGUGUGUAACCAUCUAAGCUCUCCUGGUAGAAGCUAAGCGAAGCAGAGCUCGUCUCAUUGUAACGCUCUGAGUCUGCAUGCAGGGGACGCGUUUUUCAUGGCAAGACCUUACACCAAAGACGGAGGACCUGCCAGUGAUGGACAGGGACACCGAAUGGCCUGCAGGGAAGGAGGCAGGACUUGGGGAGCCAAGCACACCUUCC